rnacentral:rRNA from 1 species
CCUACGGGUGGCAGCAGUGAGGAAUAUUGGUCAAUGGGCUUACGCCUGAACCAGCCAAGUCGCGUGAGGGAAGACUGCCCUAUGGGUUGUAAACCUCUUUUGUCAGGGAGCAACGCCGGCUACGUGUAGCCGGACUGAGAGUACCUGAAGAAAAAGCAUCGGCUAACUCCGUGCCAGCAGCCGCGGUAAUACGGGGGAUGCGAGCGUUAUCCGGAUUUGUUGGGUUAAAAGGGUGCGUAGGCGGAAGGCCACGUCAGCGGUAAAACCGCGGGGUGAAGGCCUGCUCUGCCGUUGAAACUGGCGUUCUUGAGUGGGCGAGAAGUAUGCGGAAUGCGUGGUGUAGCGGUGAAAUGCAUAGAUAUCACGCAGAACUCCGAUUGCGAAGGCAGCAUACCGGCGCCCGACUGACGCUGAGGCACGAAAGCGUGGGUAUCGAACAGGAUUAGAUACCCGAGUAGUC